rnacentral:misc_RNA from 1 species
ACGAUUUAGAGCACUAAAAACAGUGACACGAAACGAUUAAACAAUCGUCAUCAUCUCUUAUUGAUCAGUACAGCAACGUUUCCCGGAGCUGAAUUAGUUGGAUUUAGUUUCUUGGCUCGCAAAGAAUGAAGUUUGGACGUCUACUCAUUUUCGUGGCCUUAAAGCUAGCGGCCGUUGUUAGUGUUAAACAAGAUGAUCUGAUUAUCGCUGUCGGCGAUAAGCUAGAGUUUCUCAAAGAUGGAAGCACAUACCAAACACUGGCGCUGGAUUCUUACAAUGCGUCAAAAUUUUCGGCCCUCGCCUACGAUGCCACGACACAGAAACUCUUUUUCUCCGACAUCCGACAUCGUCAUGGUCACAUAUUCAGUGUCAGCCUCGACAGUGAAUCUCGCCGUAAUGUUGAAGACAUCGUAGAAAAAAAGAGUAACGAAACUGUUGAGAGCCUGACGUAUGAUCCAGUGGAUAAUGUUUUGCUGUGGACUGAUGGAUUAAACAAAUCCAUCCGUCGUAUCCAGAUUGACCAUGACCGAGUCCACUCUGAAGGAAAGGCCGGUGUUGAGGUAGUCCACUUUUUGGAAUACGAUGCUAAACCACGUGGGUUGGUUUCUGAUCCCUGCACGAGAAUGCUGUACUGGACAAAUAUUCAUAAUUCUCGUCCAACUAUUGAACGUUCGUUUCUCAACGGAAGUCACCGUGAAAUUGUUGUUAAAACCGACUUGUUACUGCCGAAUUCUCUAGAUCUAGACGUGGUGGAACAGAGACUAUACUGGGCAGAGAGUUUGCCUAACGGAUAUUUCCAUAUUGAAAGAAGUUUCGUGAACGGAACGGGAAGACACGAAAUCUAUCGGGGUACCGGGCAAUUUGUCGUCAACCUCGCGGUGGGAGUUGACUAUGUUUACUGGAGCGAUUACGAUCAUAAGAAACUCUGGUUUCUUAGAAAAGACGGAUCAUCAAAGCGACCCUUAAGUCUGGGAACAUUUCGUGACCCUGUCAUGAGUGUAGUGCUAUUUCGUCGUCAACCGAUAGAUUGCUGUCUGGUUUCCUCAUCAGAAACUUGUCAGCCAACGAAAGAAGUUCUCGUUAAGAGCCAGCCUGUGGUAAUUCUGGAAUCGACGUCAUCCAGACACGACGAUGUUGAUAUUUGUACAGGUUUUUGCUAUCACAACGGUGAUUGUACUAUUCUCUUGAAUUCCGUUUUGCGCUGCAGUUGCCCAGCUGGAUUCAGUGGCGAUCGGUGUGAAUUACUCGAUGGGCAAUCAGAUGCGUGGUCAUAUGAUAACCCAGAAGUAGAAGAAAUGGACAGAGAAAAUGAGACAAUGACUCUUGAUCAGAUGUCAUCGUCAUUUGAAACGAUAGCUAAAACAUGCAUACCCAUCACUUGCUUCGUUUUAAUAGCAAUUGUUGCCAUCGUCAAACUCCGAUUAUUCACUACCAUUUUCAAGUCUCUGCGAAGAGAUAACGACGACAAUGCUGCGGUCGUACAAAAUUUGGAAAAUUGCUACAAAAUGUGUGAAAGGCCGUUUCCGCAACUUCAAGCCGUAAGCGCUCCGGUGCCGGACAAUAGUUGGAAACAAAGUGGUGACCGUGCUACCUUAAUCGAGAACGAAUUUUGAAAUGGGAGAAAAGCUCUCAGUGCAAGUUUUGUACAUAUUUUUUGGGUCGGUGAAUUAUUUCAACUGUUUAUUCCGUACAUUACGGUAUAAUUUGUGCACUAGUGCUGUAAAAUGACGCACUCAAUAAUGGCGUCUAUUGAUUAUACACGUUUCGUUUUCUUUUGAUUCAAUUGUUGAAGACAAGCAAUCAUCAUACAAUGCCAAUUUACCAUA